rnacentral:rRNA from 1 species
CCUACGGGAGGCAGCAGUGGGGAAUAUUGCGCAAUGGGCGAAAGCCUGACGCAGCGACGCCGCGUGAGGGAUGAAGGUCUUCGGAUCGUAAACCUCUGUCAGCAGGGAAGAAAGGUCACUGUGCUAAUCAGCAGUGAAUUGACGGUACCUGCAAAGGAAGCACCGGCUAACUACGUGCCAGCAGCCGCGGUAAUACGGAGGGUGCGAGCGUUAAUCGGAAUUACUGGGCGGAAAGGGCUCGUAGGCGGGAUGUCAAGCCAAGGGUGAAAUCCCAGGGCUCAACGUGGGAACUGCCUUUGAAACUGGCAAACUGGAGUGUGGGAGAGGAUAGUGGAAUUCCAGGUGUAGGAGUGAAAUGCGUAGAUAUCAGGAGGAACAUCAGUGGCGAAGGCGACUAUCUGGCACAUAACUGACGCUGAGGAGCGAAAGCGUGGGUAGCAAACAGGAUUAGAUACCCUUGUAGUC